rnacentral:rRNA from 3 species
AGAGUUUGAUCCUGGCUCAGGAUGAACGCUGGCGGCGUGCCUAAUACAUGCAAGUCGAGCGAACGGACGAGAAGCUUGCUUCUCUGAUGUUAGCGGCGGACGGGUGAGUAACACGUGGAUAACCUACCUAUAAGACUGGGAUAACUUCGGGAAACCGGAGCUAAUACCGGAUAAUAUUUUGAACCGCAUGGUUCAAAAGUAAAAGACGGUCUUGCUGUCACUUAUAGAUGGAUCCGCGCUGCAUUAGCUAGUUGGUAAGGUAACGGCUUACCAAGGCAACGAUGCAUAGCCGACCUGAGAGGGUGAUCGGCCACACUGGAACUGAGACACGGUCCAGACUCCUACGGGAGGCAGCAGUAGGGAAUCUUCCGCAAUGGGCGAAAGCCUGACGGAGCAACGCCGCGUGAGUGAUGAAGGUCUUCGGAUCGUAAAACUCUGUUAUUAGGGAAGAACAUAUGUGUAAGUAACUGUGCACAUCUUGACGGUACCUAAUCAGAAAGCCACGGCUAACUACGUGCCAGCAGCCGCGGUAAUACGUAGGUGGCAAGCGUUAUCCGGAAUUAUUGGGCGUAAAGCGCGCGUAGGCGGUUUUUUAAGUCUGAUGUGAAAGCCCACGGCUCAACCGUGGAGGGUCAUUGGAAACUGGAAAACUUGAGUGCAGAAGAGGAAAGUGGAAUUCCAUGUGUAGCGGUGAAAUGCGCAGAGAUAUGGAGGAACACCAGUGGCGAAGGCGACUUUCUGGUCUGUAACUGACGCUGAUGUGCGAAAGCGUGGGGAUCAAACAGGAUUAGAUACCCUGGUAGUCCACGCCGUAAACGAUGAGUGCUAAGUGUUAGGGGGUUUCCGCCCCUUAGUGCUGCAGCUAACGCAUUAAGCACUCCGCCUGGGGAGUACGACCGCAAGGUUGAAACUCAAAGGAAUUGACGGGGACCCGCACAAGCGGUGGAGCAUGUGGUUUAAUUCGAAGCAACGCGAAGAACCUUACCAAAUCUUGACAUCCUUUGACAAC